AGAAGACAUCUCCAUUGAACUCUGUACUUUUGGAGGACCAGAAGACAUCUCCAUUAAACUCUGUACUUUUUGAGGACCAUAUAAAAAGUACAGAGUUUAAUGGAGAUGUCUUCUGGUCCUCCAAAAGUACAGAGUUCAAUGGAGAUGUGAACAU
rnacentral:pre_miRNA from 1 species